CAGGCGCGACCGGCGUCGCGAGUCUCCCAACUCCCGACCACACUGUUCUCUCGUUUUCGCUUCGCAUCGCAUCACAUCGGCGCUCAUUCGGCUCUCGCACGCGAUACCGUCGCGACGUCUCUGACGGGCUGGAUCCCGCCGAGCGCUUCUUUCUUACCUCCGAACCACGGAACCGCAAGUUUUUUCCGAUUUUCAAUAGUGUCCGGGUACAAAGUUAUAAAAAAAAAGUUUUGUUUUCCGUUUCUCUUCUGUUUUAUCGCGUCGAGGACCCGGAUCAUUGGGAGCUGAUUUCUCAUUGUGUUUCAGUGAUUUAAUAACAAAGUGCAACGUGCUCGUUCCACACUCACAAUAAGUAACUGACCAAAAACUGAGAAAAGUUCGUUGGGCAUUAAAUAAUUGAAAACAGAAAACCGAGCGACUAAAAAAUGUUCGUGUUCGAAAAAACGUUUGAAUUCUCCAGUCUGGAGAUCCAAGAUGUUUAGCGAUCGACACCGUAUCGAUUGUCUAUAGAGGAAAUCGGACGCGUCGAGAUCACCAAAAGACAGUUUUAUUUCGAAGUCGCUGACAAGGAUGUUGUCGAAAAAACGAUAAAUCUGGAUCUCGCGAAGCAUGACAAGAAGAACGAGAGUUUUGGCAUAGCCGAAAGUCGUGAAAAUCCUAUAAAUUCGCGACAAAGGGGAUAAAGAAGGAGAGAAAGAUGAACGAAACGAUGGAAGAUAAUUCAACGAUGCUGACGAGCCCCGACACGAUGUCGUAUCGGUGUGGGGCAGGUUUGAAUUCGUUUCAUCAAGAGUACGCGAAGAUGCACGGCUGGGCGAGUCUGUUAGUUUGCAUAUUCGGUUCGAUAGCGAAUAGUUUGAACAUAAUGGUGUUGUCGCGUCGAGAAAUGAGUUCACCGACGAAUGCUAUAUUGACGGGUUUGGCGGUGGCGGAUUUGUUGGUUAUGAUGGAAUACAUACCGUACGCGAGUCACAUGUACCUUUACCACAGGCCUCGAAGGGACACGUACACGUACGGCUGGGCGGUUUUCGUGUUUUUUCAUUCGAUAUUCACGCAGGUUUGUCACACGAUAUCGAUAUGGUUGACGGUGACAUUGGCGAUAUGGCGUUACAUCGCGGUCGCGCAUCCCCAGCGAAAUCGAGAGUGGUGCAGUUUCCGUCGAACGGUCUUUGCGAUCGCAGGAGCGUACGUUAUUUGUCCGCUGAUAUGCCUGCCGGGUUAUUUCACAACGGCGUUGACUUCGAAGGUAGAAAUUCUCGACUCUGAGGGGAGGAGCCCGAACAUGACGAUUUAUAACGCAACGAUCGGGAACGACACGGCGAGCGCGCUCGGUGCCAAUAAAUUCGUAAAUUCGACUCUCUGGUACGUCGAUCUCAGCGAGACCAUGAAAGUCAACAGUUUGCUUAACCUCGCCAAUUUCUGGAUGUACAGUGUCGUCAUCAAACUAAUACCUUGUUUAGCCCUCACGAUCCUCAGCCUCAGGCUCAUCCUCGCUCUCAUGGAAGCUAAAAAACGACGGAAAAUGCUCACGACCGCAACUCUCGUCAGAACCGAUGAGAAAAAUAUCGAUAACAAUCACAGUCUCGACGUCGUAACCAACGGGAAAAAAAGCGUUAAGAAAAAAUCCUCGAGGCUCCUCGACAAAGAGAGACAAACUGACAGAACCACCAGGAUGCUACUCGCCGUACUUUUACUCUUUCUUCUCACUGAAUUCCCACAGGGUGUACUUGGCCUUCUGAGCGUCAUACUCGGCUCUGGCUUCUUCCGCACCUGCUACGUCAAACUAGGAGAGCUGAUGGACAUACUGGCGUUGAUAAACUCUGCGAUAAAUUUCAUCCUCUACUGCGCGAUGAGUCGUCAGUUCAGGACAACCUUCAGUCAGCUUUUCUGCAGAUGGAAGCUCUUCGGUCGUUGGACACCGGUGCCUCGACAUCCGGACAACAACGGCAUAACCGGAACUAAUCACACCGUGACGCAGGUCACUCAGGUCUAGCCCAGGCGUGCCGGACGAACGCUUUGCUAUCCGUUGUAAAAAAUCCUCCGUACACAAGACACACACGCACACACGCGCGCGCCCAUUUGUAGACACAAAAAACGAGAAAGCUCGGAGAUUGUUCGUUGAUCGAGACGCGUUAAAAGCCCGGUAAAAAGCGAUUCGAUUUUUCAAAAUCUUUUCUAUGUCAAUUCGACGACGGAACGAUUCUCCGUCGAUUAUUCAAUGUUUUUUCCUCGCCCACUGACCUUUGAUUUUGAUCUUCAUCUGAAAAUGCAUAGAGACUCGUAUUGACAGACGCGAAGAAAAGCUCGCUGCAGCCGUGCGCACGGGGGGCUUGAUAAUGACGAGAGUUAACAUUUUUAUAACUUUUUUAUUUGACACUCUCGAGUAAACAUAUUUUUAUCGUUUCUCCAGGGAUAAAAGGGCUCCCCGCAGGGUGAGAACGAUAGUGAAACAAAUCGAACUCGUUUUAUUUCCAUUUCCCUUUCGAUAUUGACUCUCUGUCACCCAAUUCUUUCCUCCCGUUUCGUUUUCCUGCUUCGUGUGCUAUACUCGCACAGCAGCAGCAGCAGCAGCAGCCCCUUCCUCCAUACGCUUUUGUUAACUCUGACAUGGAUCACGUACAAUGGAACCGUAACCGUUCAACGCAGCUCAGCGUUACCACCCGCUAACGGUCUAUUAGCGAAAGAGGAGGAUAAAAAAAAAGAAAUAAAAAUAAUAACAAAAAAGAGCGAGGAAAUAAAGCGAGAAAAAGAGAUUGCGAGGCGAUACAACCGAGCGGAAUAUCGGUUUUGACAAACGUUCUUUUUUCCUCGUUUCCUUUACCAGCUCAAUUGUCUUUUGCACGUACCAAAGUAUAUCAUUGCCUCUGAAGAUAUUAAAGCUACUUUUUCCCCCCAAAACUAAUGCCUCCUCUUUUGCUAUCGUAACUUCGCGAAACGUUAUUCUUACUUGGAAUAAAACGACUUCGUUUUUCAUCGAACCCUGCAAAAGUGGAGCCGCUCCAUCACCGAGCUUCCUCCUCUCGAUCAACGACCUUCUGCCGUCAUCUCGUAAACUUGUCACACUCAGUCAAUCAACGACGAACGCACAUGUAUAAAUACGCACCAAGCUCUCGAGAGAUUCAACACUUUUAGUACUUAUAACGAAAUAACAGAUUAACGAUUUGUUUUAUAAUCGUUGGUCCGUCGUGGGGUUAAGAGACCGAUAAAAGGGAAGAAAUUAUGAAUCUGGCAUUUUCUCUGUUAGCGUACCGCUUCGAGUUUCUGAAAAACACGCAAACCGAAAAAUUAUGAUGAAUUUCACGUGAGGAGGAUAGCAAAAUGUUCGCCGGCGGUUCGUCCAAUUAUCUCGCUGGUCAAAUAUUUUAUUCCAUAGAAAUAUAUUUGAAAAUAAUCAUAAUUAUCAUCAAUAAUUGGUAAAUUAACGGAUACUAUUUGUACAGAAAUUGUUAAUAAUACGAAAAGAAGGAAAUAAGUGAAAAAUAUUGGGAUUCGGAGCCGUCAAAAUACUGUUGCAUCAGCAAUGAAUAAAAUAUUUUUUAAAUUGAAAGAUAAAAAUGAGAUUGGCCAUCAUGAUCGAUGGAAAAACGUGUUGGAAAUAACUCGGUGAUCUGUACAUUGAAUAAGGGGAAUUGGUAAUUAUUUUUGUCGUUACGAUUAUGGAGAGUACAGCGAGUGUAAAGUAUUCGGAGAAUAUUUGUCGACGAAACGAAGAAUUCGGUCGAUUUGUCUUCUAAUUAUAAAACUGUCGAUAUUUCCGGUUGGAAAUUCACGAAGGUAGGGAAUUGGUGUUAGACGAAGCAUUUGCAAAUCGAUUGAAAAAUGUGAUUUCUUCAUUUUUCGUAUUAGGUGGAAUGAAAUUUGAUGUUGAAUGGUGGAUUUGUGCGAGUCACGUCUUUGAGGAAGAGUCUUUUCUUAAAGUUUUUUAUUUCUCGCCUCGCUUACGCUCCCGUUCUCGGGCCAAUGCAUUCUCGCUACAAAGCUCAAUCUUUAUGGGGGCGAGGGGAGGGCUACGAUAAGCACUUUUAUAUCCGAGUACCGAGAUCCCAAAGUACGGGCCCGACCGUAAAAGCACAUGCGUCAUUCCAUCGGCUCCUUUUUGCUACGACACGCAGGUUAAGCUUUUAUUCGCGUUCUCGGUAACGUCAAGCGUCCUCGCGAAAAAUCUUUCUUCAGGAUCGAAAGAGAGAUCCACCCUCGCACGAAACUCCUGCGGAUUGACGGACUAAUCUCCCUUCCGUUCGAGUCCUCCUAUUAUGCACGCAUUACGUAAUACAGACAGUAAUAACAAAAGAUGAUAAAAGGAGGAUAGAAAAGAAAUAAAAAUAAAUGAGAAUCGGGAAAAGCUGCUGCUGCUGCUGCUGCUGCUUUGAAGAUUUACCAGGAACGCGUUACGCAACUAGUUCCGACUCAAAGUAUACAAAUAAGUUUUAACUGAGACUGUGCUCCAGUCACGUGACUAAGGCCAACGAGAUAGACCCACGUUUUCCCAUUUUCUCGUUAAACCCCCUCCCCCACUGGGAUCAUAAAGUUUCAUGAUGAAUUUUUUAUCCUCCAAUCAUAACACCGAGAAAUGAAUUCUUAGUUCAUUCUAAUGUACGAUAAAAAUGUUAUCAUCGUCGUAAGCAUCGUUUGCGAAAUAACCGUGUCAAAUUUGCUACCAAAUUCUAUCCAGUCUUAUGAUUUUCUCUUUUUUUAGGGGCCCACAUAAAGAUGGUACUUCCGCUUGAAGCUUCGCUCCAAUAAGCCGCGAGUAGGAGCUCCGGCCUAGCACUCCUCGACUCUUGUCGAAGCAAUUCUCAAGUAUUAUGCAACAGACUAUAAUACACAUGGAGAUGAAGUUGGUUACGAGGCAGUCAUUAGCAUGAAUCUUCGAUUUUACCAUUACGGGGAGGCGGCGGUGGCAAAGUACUCGGUAACAGCCGCGACGGACCGGUGAGGCUUCGGAAUCGAUUCUGUGUGACUUUGGCCUCUUUGAACUACUCCGCACUUUACACCUUGUCGUUCCACUUGAGAGGGAGAGAGAGGGAGUAAGGAGGCUUUAUGGAAAAGCUUCUAAGAGUUUUGCACUGGAAAGAUUAAAACACGAGCUCUGGUAAUCCACGAAAUUGCGAUCGUACGAAGCUGCCUCCUCGGGUUUUCAGCUCCCUCCAAACAACUAUGCCCCGUGCACCCGAGGCAAAUUCAACACGUGCGCGCAUCUUGUCGCAAAUCCUUGUUGAAAGGUACAUUAACAACCUCGGGGCAACACACCACUCUGCAAACACGUAGUUACACCAACUUCCAAAGCACUAAUUUACGUGCGAUAUGCCUUUAGUCAAAUCUACCAAAAGCUUCGUUUCACACGUAUAUUUCACGGGGAUUUAACGCUCUUGAUACUCCCACGAUUUAUCAUCCCCAAUUAUCCCUCGCUUGCUCCGAGGGAUAACCGCUCCACCGAUUCCCAUAAAAAAUCUUCCUUCGACCGAGUCCUCGACGAAAUGCACACCCAGCAGCUUGACGGUUUCGUCCACUCGGAAGACGAAGGGAUUUUAUGCAUGUGUGGAUCCUCGAUUUGCAUACAAGAAGCGAGAUUUGCAAGAAAAACUAUACGAAACAAAGACUCGAAUUCAUGAUCGACGAAGCAGCAGCAGCAGCAGCAGCAGCAGCAGCAGUAACGUCGUCAAAGUCGAGCGAUUUCAAUGCAAUUUCAUCGAUCCCAUAAAUAAAACAUUUUAAUGAAUUCUUUUCUGUGUCACAGUGAGAUAUGAAAGUUUAACAGAGACAGGAAGACCUCGGGGGGGCUAAAUAAAUCGUAAAUAAUGCAUUUUCUUUCUCCGGUAAAAAAGCUCACGUUCGUAUAUAACCUCGUGCGAGAGCAGAAAACCCUUCGCAGCUGUUAUUCGGUAAUUCCAUACCAUAAAGUAUCCCUGCACCAGCCGGCAAAUCCAAACUUGGAGAGAAAGAGCACGCCGGAAGGUCGGAAGCUCUCGUACAUCCACAUGUAUUCAUCCGCAUUCGCUUAUAUAUGCGUCGACUAACUUUGACUACGACAUACGAGUAUAUACAGCCGGUGUAAGGGUUCGCUGUUUGUUCUUGGACUGUGGAGGCUUUUCCCGGAGGUUCCCUUCUUACCUCCUCGUCAAAGCUUUCCAUUAUAUCCGUGUAUUAUGAACGCGUACGUUCGCCAUUAUAUCCGAGUUUGAAGAGGCGGGUCGAGGAGAGGGUUAGCGACAGAAGCUAGCCAACGGUAAAGGAAACUUGUUAGCUCCGAAUUUCGGAUUUGCCAAGCUCUCAAACUCCACACAGCGAAAGUCUCUUCGGAAACAUCCACCGGUUCAAACGUCAACUUCUCCUGGCUGCAAAAUAUUUAUCGUGCCAAACGACAUCCUUCAACUCGUCUUUUUUCUUCCUCUUCUUCGCCUCGACUCGAGGCAACUUUCGCAAGGUGCUGAUAUCCACCGCGAAUAAUAUAUACAUUUACAUAUAUACUGGGCAUGAAUUUUCAAGGGAGCGAAAACGUUUGUCACAAAUUAUUCACGCGCCACUCGCCACGGGACCCCCAUCGCCGCUCCUACAUGACGCUGCUGUGUGCAUUUCUCCUAUCGCAUUUCACGACAACUUGGAUGACGAAACAGCAUCAUAUUAUGUGAAUUAUGUAUGUUUACAUGUGAGUACGUUUCACCAGGCUGGAGAUAAACGCGUGUACACAAUCUUUGAUGACAUACAACGCUGUGUAAAUGCAGGAGUUCAUACGGAAACACGACUUGCAUAAUUAACGAGCAAAUACGAGGUGCAUGGGCCAACGAUGUUGAACUGCUCAAUUCUGCGUAUUGGCUGCUGUUACAUUUAGCCUGAAUCUAAUUGAAUAUAAUCACGCACAAGUAUACGAGAAUCGUUAGAUCGUGCGUGCUUUUCGAAAUUUCCUUCGUAAGGGGAUCGACUUCGUUGAGUUUGAAUAAGUUUUGGUGGUCGUUGGAACGAAGAUGGUUCAGUGAAGGGAGAAGAUUGUGAUUCGUUGUAAAAUCUGCACGGUUCGAGUUACAGUGACACUUUUCAAUCCGGAUUGAUAUGUCGUGAGAACUUAUUGAGUGGCGCGACUGCAAUCCGUCAGUUGAAUCAAAAGAAUCUUCAAUUACCGAGACGCCAGACACUCGAAGGAGAACUUUCAUUGGCUCGUAAAAACGACCCUUUUUUAUGGACAUUUUUUCCACUCAUUCGGUAACGAGAUGUCCGAUAAAAUUUCACUUGCAUACAGCAGUUCUUCGGCACAUUUUUGCAUGUUUAAUAAAUGGCCAUGAGAAUUGGUUAGGUGCUCUGUUACAAUUUUGAAUUAAUCGAUGAGUCAUUUUGGUUGAAUUUCAUGAAAAUUUGCAUCCUAAUGGGAGUCUCGAAGAAUGCGUGCAGUUACUGAGUCACUGGAGAUACUUCUAGAAAUUUCGAUCCUCUGCACUAGAAUGGAAGUUUAUUUGUAAAUGCAGAAACUGGAAUCUUGUUUUAGCUCGAAAUUGUGGGUUUGAGGGGCGACGAAAGGGGCAGAGUGCUCCCGAUGCGAAAUGUUGGUUCGCUGUGUCUCGUCACAUUUGGCACACGUAUUUCGCAUUCCCCACCGCAGAAGGCACGUCGCUGAGCCAACAUUACGUAGCGCCACGUAUUUUGUACUCGCAAUGCAAAAAUUCAUGUACGCGUGGCUUUUUAUGCAUUUCUAUGCAGGUAUAAUGCAUAAUAUUAUGUUUUUCUACUGCAGCGUGGAUUCUCCAACGAAAAAAGGGAAAAAGCUGUGGUGUAAGAACGAAAAAUGGUUGGUAAACUUUUGAUGGAGUGCUCGGGGAGUCGCUCGAAACACGAGCACCAGAAAAAUAAGCACAUUUCGUACGAAGGGGCAUUGCGAACGGUGUCAAACGAGUUUUCAUCAAGAAAUAUCAUUCUCCGGGAAGAACACUGUUGCUCUUAACGAUCGAGAAGUCUCUUCGGCUGGUUUUGCAAGUUGCUACGAAAUUAGAGGAGAUCGCAGCUCGAGCCUCGUACGUUCGUUUCGAAGCCUCUCUCUCUCUCUCACUCUCUCACUCUUUUAGUUUCAUCAAUUCCACGUUUCUAGGUCACGUAACAAGGAUAUUGCAAGUUGUACCUCUCAUGCGGGCAGACAGUAGAAAAAAAUUCAAAUGCGAAGAUACAUUUGUAUGUAUUUUUAGUCGUAUGAGGGGAGGCGAGGCGAGGCGAGCAGGAAGCUCGUUGUCCCAUUAUCCUCUCGGUUCUUUGACUCGUAUUUUACAACUGUGAUUAUUCAAGAACGAGUGGCCCGGUUAAUUGGCCCGUGGGGCUGUUUUAUUGUUCCUUUUCAGUGUCUUUCUCGAGUACGUUUUUUGCCUCGCUCGUUUAGCGGGAAGGAAUGAAUCUGCGGCGAAUUUAAGGGGCAUUCCCGGAGGCUUAUUUUUCCACUUGAAAUUCGGAGGAAUCCGGUGCGACAAAGAAGCUCGCUCGGUUCGUUCUCGUAAUUAUUCUGCUCCUCGGCGUCCCUGUAUUCCCUCGCUUCUUUUUCUCCCGUCCCGAUUCAAUUGCUCCGCAGACUCAGUCUCGUGAUUGCUUGUUUCGACCGUAAAGUACUUUCGCGAAUUAUAAAUGAAUAAUUGAUUAUCCGCGAGGACACACGAGCAGGGAGGACCUUUUCGAGGGAGCCCCAGCGAGCUGCUUUGCACCUGACAAAAGGCGCUCGAACCCCUUUCAACAUUUUCCUACAUCGAGCUACUCUCUCCCCCGGCGCUUUGCGAAGGACUCUACGAACGUGUGUACCAAGUAUUAAUGGAUCUUUGAACUUUUAAUGCCCUCUAAUUCAACUCCGAGCGAAUGUGCGUCGACGAGUUUGAAUUUCAGCUCGAAACGUUCGUUCGGAAACGGAAAUAAUGCUCCUGUCUAAAUCCAUCAAUAUUGACGAGACUCGGGGCGAUCGCGAAAAAGCCUGAAAUUUUCAGGUACCCGGACUAGGACAACAGAGAAUCCAUUCGCCUCGCUCCCUAUUAUUUCUAUACUUUUUGCAAUUGACCUCGUGACUCCGGCGGCAACCCCUUUUACACAAGACUUAUUAAAAUUUAAUCGUCACAGUAUCCGCCGGCUGUGGGAAAGCGCGAAUCGAUCCGUCGAGCACGCUCUCUUUUCGUGGAUACGUGAAUACAUGUAUCGUCGCAUCUUUUGUGAGAGCCGAGUUUCAAUCGGAGAGUUAUUUCGACCUCUCCAGUUUUGCCCUCUCAUCGCGAGGAGUCAAUUUCUUUCGUCCAUUCAUCCUGUGCUUUUGCUUUAUUUUCAAUCUCUCAUUUUUUCCACCGUCCAUUUCUAAAUUACAUUCAUACGCUCUCGAUAUUAAAGCGAAUAAUCAAAAGUGAUGAUUAUUCCCCCUGUGACUUUCCCUCUCAUUUUCAUUACAUUUUUCUCACGCUUUUCAGCGGAUAAUUCAACAGAUUUAUUGUAUCCGCGUUCAAAGGACAUUUUCGGUAUUUGGGAACACGGCAAUUUCGUUGCGGGCUGAUGAACCACUUUUGCAACGCUUCGAAUAACAAUAUUUAUGAACGUUGAUCGAUUAUUCAGCGACGAAAACAAUCCAUCGCUGAUCCAUGAUCGAGGAUCAAUAAUUUUAUACGUGUUGGCCGUUUUCCUAUCAUGUUAAACAUGUAAAUAGCUAUUGAUGCUUCGCACAAGCCUACACGAUUAAUCAUCGAUUCACUAUUAAUCAAUGACUGAUCGAGGCGACUGUAAAUACGCCGCGCGAACGGCGAGCCACGAUCAUUUUGUACUAUGCUCAUUGAAAAUUUAUUAUUUUUUUCAAAACGACGAUUUUCAUUCGUGAAUCGAAAAAUAUAAGCAGCUGAAUUAUAAUUGUUUACAUGAGAGUCUGUAUAAAAUUGUUCUACAGGCCAAACUGGCGAGUUUCCAUUGAUUUGCAUCACUAUUACCGUUGUUACUGUGUGUUACUGUUUACGCAAAUGGUGAAUUUAUGGAUAAAAUGUAAUGUGACGUAGCACGAGAGUUCACGUGUCUCAAAAAUGGAGGAAAAAGUAAAAACUUUUGAGAAACGUGCACUGAAUGAACGAAUAAAUGAACGAUUCGUGAUAAAGUUUCACCCUGUUGUUGGGAAUACUGGAAAUUAAUUAACUAGAGAUUGAUAGAGCUCGAUACAUUGACAGGAGCAAGAUUGUUCGAUGAAAAUCGAAACGAAAAAUCGUUCAUGGAGCUCGUGCAUUGAAAUAUAAGUGCACAAUCGUACAAUCGCAAUCUCGACAUUUGCUGACAGUUUUCAAAACCAGAAACUAACUAAUUAAUUUUGCAGCAAAGUAUUUUUUCUAUUCGCUUAUGAACUGUGGCGAGUGCACUCGCGCAUUGCCAACUUACUGCAAAAUGUAUGAACGAUCGAUCAUGACGAAUAGCGUGGAAAAAAAAUAUGAAAAAACCAUGAAAAUACGAUCGGCAUAUGGCGAGAUAAGCAAUCGAUCGUACUUUCUAUUGAAUAGAAUAAAAAUUCGUAUUAUCGGGAGUCGUACAUUAUAUUGUUAUCGGGUUAUCGUUGAUAUUGACGAAGCUACACAAAAUGAUUCAUCCUUCAAAUUGACAUUUCGUUGCUCUCUUCGUCAUUUUUCCCUCUAACAGUAUUUUCCAUUGUUUCUCCUCAGAGAAAUUCUUUGUCAGUACAAUCCGUUCGAACUUCGUGAAAAUAACGAAUUUAUUGAGCUUUCUGAGCUUCGUAUCGAGCCUUGUGACCAAGAUCGAUUGUAUAAUAAAAUAAUCGAAAAAUUAUCUCUGCGGUUAGUGUUUAUUGUGAUAAUGCUGCUUCGAAAGACUAAAUCGCAUACACGAAUUAACGUGAAUUUUGUAUGCUCAAUUAAGUUUGUGUAUAGUAUAUAAAGAAAAAAAUUAAUGUGAUUGUCUGUAAAUAAUAUAUUUAUAUAUUAUUGUGUAUUUUGAAUUGAGAGGAUCGACUUGAGAGGGAACGAGAGAAGUAAGCGAAUUGCGGUGAGCUGUACAUCGAAGGACGGAGGGAGCUCAAAAAUGAAUUGACUAAAUCCUCCGGUGUCAUAAACUAAGUAACUGCGCAUAAAUGCUGUUGACAUAAAUCGUGAAAAUGCGAAUCGGUUUCGGGCCGAAUGGACACUUUGUAAAAUACGAAAUCACUAAUUAAAAAACGCAUUGAUUGAUAAGAACAAAUAAAUGUUAAUUCGCCCCCUAA